UACGAGGGGGGCGAGCGUUGUUCGGAAUUAUUGGGCGUAAAGGGUGCGUAGGCGGUUUGGUAAGUCUUGUGUGAAAUCUAUGGGCUCAACUCAUAGUCUGCAUGAGAAACUGCCGGGCUUGAGUAUGGGAGAGGUGAGUGGAAUUCCUGGUGUAGCGGUGAAAUGCGUAGAUAUCAGGAGGAACACCUGUGGCGAAAGCGGCUCACUGGACCAUAACUGACGCUGAUGCACGAAAGCUAGGGGAGCAAGCAGG
rnacentral:rRNA from 1 species